rnacentral:rRNA from 1 species
CUGGCUCAGGACGAACGCUGGCGGCGUGCCUAAUACAUGCAAGUCGAGCGGACAGAUGGGAGCUUGCUCCCUGAUGUUAGCGGCG